GGCGGCGUGCCUAACACAUGCAAGUCGAACGGAGAAUUACGCUGAUUAAGCUUCGGCAGAUUCUUGUAAAUUCUUAGUGGCGGACGGGUGGAGUAACGCGUGGGCAACCUGCCUCAUACUGGGGGAGUAACAGCUGGAAACGACUGUUAAUACCGCAUAAGCGCACGGUAUCGCAUGAUACAGUGUGAAAAACUACCGGUGGUAUGAGAUGGGCCCGCGUCAGAUUAGCCAGUUGGCAGGGUAACGGCCUACCAAAGCGACGAUCUGUAGCCGGCCUGAGAGGGCGGACGGCCACAUUGGGACUGAGACACGGCCCAAACUCCUACGGGAGGCAGCAGUGGGGGAUAUUGCACAAUGGAGGAAACUCUGAUGCAGCGACGCCGCGUGAGUGAAGAAGUAUUUCGGUAUGUAAAGCUCUAUCAGCAGGGAAGAAAGACUCGUAAGAGAGAUGACGGUACCUGACUAAGAAGCCCCGGCUAACUACGUGCCAGCCGCCGC
rnacentral:rRNA from 1 species